CGAAGCAUCGCUGUCUUCAGCACCAAGACCACAACGCAGUCUUCGGGAGAGAAAUGAAAAUGAAGAAGUGCGUGUCUUUCGUGCUUCUUCUAUCAGUCAGUAUGAUCUCAGGUGUGGACACAGGAACUGAAGAUGGAAAUACAUUAAUGGCGAAUCAUCUUGAUGAACUGUUAAGUCUGAGUGAACUGCCGAUGAAGAAACUGUUACACGUGAAACGGACAUUCGUAGAUCCUGCACCAGAAGAUAUUGCAAGUAAUGACUCCGAGGAGAAAGAAACUUCCUCAUCAGACAGUCGGGGAAACUCGACGCCGCAAGCCCACGCACUUGUGGGUGGCGGUGGCCAGACUAAAAGAGUAAAUCCUCUGACGUACAAUGGGGGACUGGGACGUGUGAGGACGCCCCUUCGUCGUGGCGGGGGAUUUGUGUAUGGUGGUCUGGACCUGCAUGGGAAGAAGAAAGGAAAAAAGGGCAGUAUCUCCAGUAUCUUCCAGACGUCUGUUACCGCACUUGCUUUUCUUGCCUUCGGUGGAUACGUCAUGUGCCUCAUAGUGCAGGCCAUACGGGCGAAAAACAAUGGGCUGGCUAUGAUGAACGGAGCUGCGUUGCACGGGAACCUCUCCCGGUUCGUGUUCCUCGGACGCCGUCCAGGAUAUGGCAAACGUCGCAAACGAGACUCAACAGAAGAAACUAAAGCUGGCGGGAACUUGAAAGAAUCCUCUGAAGGCCCAGAAGAAAUCGAAUUCAAUGACAUGGAGACGGGAGACCACAGCGACGAAGCAACGUUAGAGACGAGUGAGGAUGAUAAAUCCGGGACAGAUGACAUGCAGCAUACAAAUGCAUUUUAUGGAGAUGGAAUGGAUCUUGGGCACUGGCCCCUGGCGAAUGCAGAUGAUAUGUACAGGGCUCUGGUGAUGAUAUCAGAGGGUUAUUCGCUUUAUCAUCAGACACUUCAUAAUGUCUAUGGAAAUAGAGACUAAUUAACUAAAUCCACGGAGCAGUCUUUCUUGAGACGCUGACAGUCGCUACGCUGGUAAAUAAUUCCUCGCACUCUAUGGAAUCCGAAGAUCUAUUACCGUGUUGACAAGAUCUUGUCUGUGGUCCAUAUUGGUACAAAUAAAAUUUAAACUGUCGUAUUAUCCAUAGUGACAUCACCCUUUUAAUAUGAAUAUUUACCGAACGUUACGGUCAUAUUUAUGCCUUAAAAUCCUGUUUAUAGGAGAUCCCAGGUUCGUUCGUCAAUUCGGCAGCCUAAUAUUCUGACUGAGAUUUUUUAACAUUAUUUUAUUAUCUCUCUGUAAAUGCUGGUAUACCGUAAAAUAGGCCUCAAUCGCUUCUUUUCACUACAUGACAUACACAGUUGUAAUGUGUCGUUAAAUAACGCAAGCAUCAAUAUAUUUACUGACGUCCGAAUGGUAUAUGAAAAGUGUUUCCGUCGGCUGUACUAAGUCUCAAACCAGGAACAGUAAUCACAUUUGUAAUUUUCCCUAAAGAGUUCACAAAGGUUUUUUCACUCCAAUUCCUUGCACCUCGGAGUACUGUACGCUUGGCAUCUGCCACGUACAUACAAAUUAAUAUGACGACAACGCCCUUCGUGUCCCAUCCAGUCGUAAAAGAAUUAAAGCAACAAGGAACCCUCAUACAGCGGAAACAUUCACCACGGUUAUCUGCUUCUGAGUUUGUUUUUAGUUGACAGGCCAUGGAUGACGCUUGAAGUUCUUCAACUGUCUCUGACAAACACAGUUCAUACCAUCUACAAUUUCGAAUCAAGCAUCUCACUGACACCAGUUGUUAACUUCUUUUAUCUUCCAGUGAGCAAAUUUUAAGUGUAAACACACAUUCUACAUAACAAUUCUAGGAACAAGUAUUUUAAAACACGUUAUUGUGUGAUAUUUAUAACUCUUGUAAUACAGUUUAUAACGAUGGCAGCGAACCCAUGGUUUCUAUUGUUUAUCACAAGCUACACGUUACAGUUAAACUGUUUUGCAGUUAGAAUCAAAUCAAACGGCGACUCAGAAGAUUUUUUGUGGACCCAAGAUCGUCAAACGAGAAGUCUUCUGGAUACAGGAGCUGUGGUGACCAAAUUUCGCGAAGGCCUUGACAUGGCGGGGAAGUUCCUGGGGCUAAAUACUGCGCAGGGAGUGGCAAACCUGGUGAGCUCCAGUCUGCUCAAGGCACGGCCCCAGUGGCUCAGGGAAGGAUCAGACACCAGCUUCGAACACGGACUGUUCUCAGGUUUCUUUCGCCUCCUGGGACUUGACUCUACCAAGCUGGGGGCCAUUGCCCUCAAUGCCAUCAUAUUCAUUGCACAACUCAUCAGCAAUUCACUGAUCCAGAAAUCAUCCCAGACUGCCUCAGGGCGCUCAUCCUAUAAUGAAGAACUCGAAGGUUCGCCAGUGUCAUGGAUACUGGACAACCCAACAGUGCAGCUCAGAGAUCUUCUAAACAGAGCCCAGGACCAAGAACUGGCCGACGAAGUUAUCAGAAUAAUCCAGGAGCGGUACACGGAUGAAGAGACUGGAUGCAUCCAGGUUCUGGUGUGCAAGAGCUCCCCUUUCGUACGAGGGAUGCAAAAAGCAGUACGCGCGUUGCUGAACAACGAAGAAGACACGAAAGGGUGGAGUCGCCUCACACCCAUACAGCGGAUGUACAGCGACCUGCCCACGAUGCAGGAAGUCAUUGAGAACGGGGACCAAUGCGAGGAUCGCUUUCCAGUCUGCCAGAUCCUGCCGCCAGAACCUUGAUCCACAUCAGCGCAUAAAACUUCACGGAUGUAUUCUUCGUGAGAAGCCAAUAGUCGCUAAGCUGGUCAGAAAAUCCACCGCCUUUUAUGGUAUCUGAAGAUUCAAUACUGUGUUCAUUCAAGGGUAAUCCUGGGCGGUGGUCCAGUGAUAUUUCCAUCACCAUAACCUAUAAUAUUAUUGUAGUCUCUUUUUAAUUCUCGACUGGUUCUUAAAUUAAUUGACACUGGUUCAGCUACAGAUGUUACACUGUCGAAUGAUUCAGGACGACAAUGACGUUCAGCAAAUAUGUCUUAGGCUAUUUAACGAUUCUAAUUCAACUAAAGAGAUUAUAUAACAUUAAAUGAGACGAGAAAAUAAACAUGAAAUAUAUUAACCAGCUGAAUAAUUAUAAAAAAGAUCCAAGGAAGCAGCUGUACCAUUGAGUUGUGAAUCUCGCCAAACUUCAAGAGAAAGACACGACUCACAGUCCUUAAUUAUAAUUCCUUCGUAUUCCUCGUGUGUAAGACGAGCCCUUAAAUUAGUAAUGUAAUUUUUUAAAAACGUGUAUUACAACAAUAAUUGUUAAAUUCAAACAUGAAACUUCUUUGCAUUAAUAAUUUCAAAAUCUUA